UCAAUAACUUAAAAAAAUAUAAAUAUAGCUGGAUUAGUACAAAAGUUAUAGGAAGCACCUCAUCCGUAUCAUCAUUACUAUAAAUGCCAUAUCUAAAUGCCUGGCUUAAGUUAUUUGCCAAGGCUGUAACAUCAUAAUCCCUAUCUUGGUAA